ACCUUUUAAACAAGGUACCUCCGUCAGUGAGGAUGUGUGAAGCUCCUGAAAAAAAAAGAGUUAGGUCAAUUGAGGGAGCCUUUGAAAUGAAUGAUCAGAUUAGAGUGAGGUGCGUUUGACGUUGAAUCCGUUUUAGAGGGUGAGUCUGAAACGAAUUGGUGAGGUGAGAGUCCUGUGUGAGAUUUUGAGGCUCAGUAUCCCCGUGAGGUGCGUUCGGAACACGGUUUAAAUAGAGCUUGGAAUUAACAGAAGAAAUCACUGGUUGCUUGGAAGUGUAUUGUCAAAUUGGUGGUGGCAAGAAGCAAUUCCCUCUUUCAAAUUUACAGCAAUGGUUAUGUAUCAAGACACGUAACGUAGGACUUCUAUAGACUUUUGGAAAAAUGUAAUGGAAACUUUGGUAUAAAUGUAAUGAAAACUAUUGUAUUCAUUUUGGUUAAAAAGUCUUGGUUGUCUUGCUAAAUUAUGGUUCA